rnacentral:rRNA from 1 species
AUUGAACGCUGGCGGCAGGCCUAACUCAUGCAAGUCGAGCGAGCGGCGGACGGGUGAGUAAUGUCUGGGAAACUGCCUGUUGGAGGGGGAUAACUACUGUAUACGGUAGCUAAUACCGCAUUCCAUCAGAUGUGCCCAGAUGGGAUUAGCUAGUUGGUGGGGUAACGGCUCACCUAGGCGACGAUCCCUAGCUGGUCUGACAGGAUGACCAGGAAAACUGGAACUGAGACAGGGUCAAGAAGGGUAAGGGAGGAAGCAGGGGGGAAUAUUGCAAAAGGGGGGAAAGCCUGAGAAAGCGAUGCCGCGUGUGUGAAGAAGGCCUUGGGGUUGAAAAGCACUUUCAGCGGGGAGGCGUUACCCGAAGAAGAAGCACCGGCUAACUCCGUGCCAGCAGCCGCGGUAAUUC